rnacentral:tRNA from 1 species
GGGCAUUUAACUCAGUUGGUUUAGAGUGUCACCUUGACAGGGUGGAAGUCACUGGUUCGAAUCCAGUAAUGCCCACAA